rnacentral:rRNA from 1 species
AUACGAAAGGUGCAAGCGUUGUUCGGAUUUACUGGGCGUAAAGAGAGUGUAGGUGGUUUAUUAAGUCGGAUGUGAAAUCCCGGGGCUCAACCUCGGAACUGCAUUCGAUACUGAUAGGCUAGAGUUUGGGAGGGGUAAGCGGAAUUCCGUGUGUAGCAGUGAAAUGCGUAGAUAUACGGAGGAACACCUGAGGCGAAGGCGGCUUACUGGACCAAUUCUGACACUGAGACUCGAAAGCGUGGGUAGCAAACAGGAUUAGAAACCCUAGUAGUCC